rnacentral:rRNA from 1 species
AUUGAACGCUGGCGGCAGGCCUAACACAUGCAAGUCGAGCGAGCGGCGGACGGGUGAGGAAUGUUUGGGAAACUGUCUGCUGGAGGGGGAUAAAUACUGGAAACGGUUGCUAAUACCGCACACCAUCAGAUGUGGCCAGAUGGGAUUAGCUAGUAGGUGGGGGAAUGGCUCACCUAGACGACGAUCCCUAGCUGGUCUGCGAGGUUGAUCAGCCACACUGGAACUGAGACACGGUCCAGACUCCUACGGGAGGCAGCAGGGGGGAAUAUUGCACAAUGGGCGAAAGCCUGAUUCAGCCAUGCCGCGUGUGUGAAGAAGGCUUUCGGGUUGUAAAGCACUUUCAGCGGGGAGGCGUUACCCGAAGAAGAAGCACCGGCUAACUCCGUGCCAGCCGCCGCGGUAAUUC